GAUGAAGAACGUAGCGAAAUGCGAUAAGUAAUGCGAAUUGCAGAAUUUCCGUGAGUCAUCGAAUCUUUGAACGCACAUUGCGCCCACUGGUAUUCCUUAGGGCAUGCCUGUUCGAGCGUCAUUUAAACCUUCAAGCUCAGCUUGGUGUUGGGUGACUGUCCGCUUCACCGCGGACUCGCCUCAAAAUUAUUGGCGGCCGGUACAUUGGCUUCGAGCGCAGCAGAAACGCGAACUCGGGCCCGUCGUAUUGGCUCCCAGAAGCUAUCUUCACAAUUUUGACCUCGGAUCAGGUAGGGAUACCCGCUGAACUUAAGCAUAUCAAUAACGGAGGA
rnacentral:misc_RNA from 1 species